GGCUGCCUUCCGUAGGUACUAGGUAAUGAGUGGAAGCGGUGAACACAUGAGUCAGGCUUCACUGGAGGGUGAUUCAGCUGGGUCAUUUAGUUAGGGAACUUCUGAUGUCAAUUUCUUCUUGGGCUGAUCAAAUUUUCCAGGAAAGAUUCUUCUAAUCUCCUGCCUGGAAGGUGAAAGUCGGAUUGCCAGAAAUGUAGGAUUCAAAUGGAAAGACAGAGGUAACAGAAUCCUCAAGUGAGUGAAAAUCCUUCCCACCAGUAUUGGCACUUUCACCGAAUCUCUUCACUGAUCCCGGAAUGAAGUGGAAAUUUCUCAGCCUUGUAUUCACAGCCCUCCAUCAUCUGACCCAACCUGCAUUUCCAGCCUUCAGCACCUACACUGUAUUACAACAACCCCAAUCCAGUGUCCUGCACUACCAGUUCUGCAUUUAUGCUCUGACCACUGGCGGAAUCCUCCAUGGUCCUCCUCCUUGCUCCAAAAGUACACUUUUAAAAAAUACUAAUGAACCUGUUUGCAGGACAGAGAUAGAGACACAGACGUAGAGGAUUGAUUUGUGGACACAGUUGGGGAAGGAGAGGGUGCGAUGAAUUAAGAGAGUACCACUGACAUAUUUACACUGCCAUAUGUAAAAUAGAUAGCCAGUGGGAAGCUGCUGUGUAUCACAGCAGCUCAA